GCCCCUCUCCUUCGCUCCCGUCCUUCCCCACCGCGCUCCUGUCCUCCCCCGCGCGCCGCCGCCGCGCUCCGCCGUCCCUGACCUCACGCUUCCCGGCGCCUCCUCCCCACAUCGAGGACUCCCCUUGCUCCGCCUCUUCUUCCUAUCCGGCUAGAACCGCGGCGCACGACCUCUCACGCUCGCUCGCGGCCCUCAGCCGUGGCUAGGGUUUCGGGCUGGGCAGGGCAGCGCCUUCGCCGCCGGCGCGGCUCCGGUGGACUCCGACGGCUCCUCUCCGUCUCCUCCCUCCUAUUUCUGUCCAGGAAUCCAUCCACGAGCACCACCCCUCCCCAUGGCUAGACCAGCGGGACAGAGGGUGAGGGAGUCGCCAUCAGCCACGGAUCCAGCCGGCGACCCGCCCUCGGCAGUGCCCCACACCCAAUCCCGAUUGGAUCUGGGCGAAGCCCCACCCCAAGGAGCGGCCGAGAAGCCCUGUCAAAGCUAGCCGCGGACCCCCAAUCCAUUGCUGUAGGAGUGCCCUUCGGCGGUGAGGAGGCCCAGGGUGACACGGCGCUGGUGCUCCCCAACGCAGCCAUUUCGCUGACGGCCAGGUGAUCCGUUCCCCUGAUAGAGGUGCUGGUGUUCUCCUUCAGUUCUAUGUUUCCAUAUUUCCAUUGAUUGUGUGUCUGAUAUUUUCGCAGGAUUGUUGUUGUCUCAAGUUCCUCGAAUUCCCGUACAUGCCCGAGUCCGAUUUGUGCUCGUGGUCGCCUUCCUGCCAUAGCUACAUCCACGGAUCUGCAGGGCACACUGGAGCCUGGUGAUUAUCUGUGUUCCUGGAAAAAUGAGUAAUUCAGGACCAAUCGUAUUUCAUCUGGACUCCUUAGGGGUGCAUCCUAGUGGAGGAAUUGAUGACGGCGGUGGUCAUUUCCCAGGUUCAGCAGUGCAUACUUGGAACAGGAGAGCAAUUGGUGCUGGUUACCUUCAAACUCAAUCAACAACGUGCACUUUAUCUUGGAUUGCAACAAGUAGAGGUGCAGGUGGUACCUCCAAGAGAGGUCGUCCAGAUUAUCGUCUUAAAUUCGUGGGUUGUGCAGUUAUAAUUCUUCUAAUGUUAGUGAAUUACCAACAAGUAUUAUAUUGAUAGGUAUUUUCAUCAUGAAUUUUAAUAGCCACAGAAGCUGAGGUUCAAAUCAAAAGUGUCACCAUACAAGCGAAUUACAUUUAUGUGAUGAUCUUUGAGUUUGAUUCGUGUGUUUUAUUUUGCAGAUUUGUUUGGAGAGUUCUGUCCAUCUAAGCACCAUGCGUAUGUGGCCAGUGAGUUUGCAUUUGUGUAGAAAAUUAUUGCUACUAAAAGAAAUGAAAUGGUUUUCUUCAUCCUUGUUUCAAACCAACUAAUAAACUAGAUGCUUGGAAGACUCUUUUCACUAUAUAGUUCAUGUAUGCACCUCUACUUGAUAAUCAUAAAUAGUUUGAUCACACAAUUCUUUCAAAAAACAAAGAAUCUACUAAAAACAACCAGCAGAUGAUGUAUCUGAAGGCAUUUCGUUUCAGGUGAUAUGUUCGUGACUUAAUUUUGUGGCCUACACAACUAAUGUAGAGGUUAUAUAAGUGUAGAACAGUGAUUUAGGAUAUGAUGUUUUUUAAAUACCUUUCGCGAAUGUUUGUUUGAACUCCGUUCCGAGACCACAUACUUUAGGAAAAUUUUCUUAUGUUUCAACCAAAUAAGCUCUCAAAGGAUUAGCAAGCAAAUGGACCAUUCCGAUUAAACUAUUUGUUCUAGGUCACAAUUGAAGUAUUGAUAUGUUCUGCCCAACGUUCAUUAUACCGAGUCAUGUAUUUUUUUUUCUGAACAUACAUUAUAUUUUCUAGAAAUUGCUCCUCUGUUAGAGAAACAUAUAAAUUCUUCUGUCUUUUUAUUACAUGAUACAACCUAAGGAAAUUGGAACGACUGAUUUAUGUGGGAAACUGAUGGGAUAAAGCUCAAAAGCUCACACCUGGAUAUUUUUUUGUCACACCUUCCAAAUCGUGUAGAAGAAACGCUUACAAAAAGAAGAAAGAGACCUGGUUUGCCUUCCUUGCUGGCGUCCUUGUCAUCUCCAACCCGCCCACAGGACUAUAAUAGCAACUACAGUUUGACAGCGCCAAGGAGGCGCUACCCGAUAUACAUCAAUGAUGAUGAAGGUUGGUGCACCAGACACGACACCAGAAGUUUCACUACUGCAUAAGUGCGUCUUCAAGGUGACGAGGUGGACGGUAAGUGAACUGCGGGAUGUGCCGUUGGCUGAUGAUGUGCUCUCCAUUAAAACCAAGAAGGCCAUGCGCCACUGAAACCAGAGAGGACCUUAUCCUUUUGUUUGUGGAUGCGUGAAGAAAGGAUGGUUGGCUAAGGGGGUGUCUCUUCUAGGACAGUGUCACGUGGCUCUGUUAGCUUCGAUUUUAUGGCGCCCUGUUGUCCGAUAUACAUUUAUUUAUGGAUUGGACGCAUCUGGUUAGUUCAUGUUGUUAUGUUGUUCAAGAAUAAGCACAUGUUGCAGUUAGUAUGCUACUCUAUGUAACCUCUUUGUCCUUGGGAUUUCCUUUGCAGCAAACUAAAUGGAUUCUAAAUGCU